rnacentral:rRNA from 1 species
CCUACGGGCGGCAGCAGUGAGGAAUAUUGGUCAAUGGGCGCGAGCCUGAACCAGCCAAGUCGCGUGAGGGAAGACGGCCCUACGGGUUGUAAACCUCUUUUGUCGGGGAGCAAAGCGAGUCACGUGUGACUCAUUGAGAGUACCCGAAGAAAAAGCAUCGGCUAACUCCGUGCCAGCAGCCGCGGUAAUACGGAGGAUGCGAGCGUUAUCCGGAUUUAUUGGGUUUAAAGGGUGAGCAGGCGGAGGUGCAAGUCAGCGGUCAAAUUGCGGGGCUCAACCCCGUACUGCCGUUGAAACUGCAUCCCUUGAGUGCGCGAGAAGUAUGCGGAAUGCGUGGUGUAGCGGUGAAAUGCAUAGAUAUCACGCAGAACUCCGAUUGCGAAGGCAGCAUACCGGCGCGCAACUGACGCUCAUGCACGAAAGCGAGGGUAUCGAACAGGAUUAGAUACCCCAGUAGUC